ensembl:lncRNA
CUCUGAUACUUCUGUUUCAGCUCCGAUACACAGCGGUUUAUUUUCUGUGGCUCGUUAAUUUUAUGCUUGGUUACUAUAUGUGAAAAUAAAGACUGUGCAAAGUCGUAUACACUUUUGUAAUCACAAUGAGACCAAUAUUGGAUUGAUUGAAUACUUCGUUAAAGAGCUUUUGAGAUUUGAAGAAUGUCUGUCGAAUGUCCAAUCUAAAAAUAACUUCACCGCAGUGAAAAACGAAAUAUUUUCUUUCAGGAUACAUUUUAAUACAACACAACGAAGACAAUCUACAGCAGAGGAAAACAAUAAAAUCCAUCAGAAGAGACCAGUUUCCUCUGUUCCCAGCUGUCUGUCCAUGAAGACUGAUCAGUCUAUGGAACCUCCCAUUUUGUUUAAAGACAGAUGUUCUCACUGAAGAAAGAGUCCAUCAGAAGAGACCAGUUUCCCCUGUUCCCAGCUGUCUUUCAAUGAAGACUGAUAAGUCUAUGGAACCUCCCAUUUUGUUUAAAGACAGAG